CACCUCACUCUCAUCACUAAUGUCAUCUUCACUCCUCGGGUUUCAGCGCCGCUCACAAGUACUAGCAGCACCUGUGGCAGCCAUGUGAAUUCUCAUGCUAAUCUUUUAUUAUUAUCAUCAUUAUUAUUAUUAUUCUUGUUUGCAGUUGAUGCUACUUCAUGUCUUCUGUCUACAGCAAUGAUUUAAACAUAUGCAAACCGUCCAAUCGGCUACAGCUGUUCAUGUUUGCCUCAAAGCGUGCCUGCAGCUCAAUCCACAGUUUUUAUAGGAACGUAGUAAAAACAACUUCUUAUUACGGAACCGUAUCACAUUGAAAGUAAAAUAUUCCAACAAAUUUAAAAGCAUCAAAUUAUUAGAAAUGCAUUUUUAUGUGACCAGAUUACUGAUUCCACAAUUAUUGGCACUAAUGAACAAAUUGUAAAACAUUUCAAUUUUUGUCCUUCUCUUUAGGUUUUAAAGUGUCAAAGGCAUUUUAAUGAGUAAUCAAUGAGGCAUUGUUACUCCAAUACAUAAAUAUGAUGGGAAUAGGAUUCCCUUGGCCACCCUUGAAAAUGAGAAGGACGAGAGAACAUGCCAUUAAAGCAUAAACAUGCUUACUUCAAACAACGUUUGGAACUUUUACCUCCCGUUUCGGGGCUUUGAGGGAACAAACCAAAAUUAUCCUGAACGAUGACUGAUGCGACUCUUCUCCACACCCGGGCCAUCAGCCAGAGCCGCUGCCUCCAGGGCGUUUCAGAUAAGAACGAACCGACAACACUCUCUCCCGAGAUUUCCCUGGAGGAAGCAAGAUGACUAAAGUGAUUAGGACUUUCACAGUGAAGUGAAGUUUGGAGUAGUUUGGAGGAAUCUCCUGAGAGAAAGCCGAGCAUCUUCAACCCAGUCUGGUGAUUAAACUCAUUACUGUUGGAACUCGUGCAGUUUUGUUCGAGCGUCUCGCACCAGGCUGCUCUUGACAGAUACAGCAAUACAGAAGAAAGUUAAAAGAAAUUACAAAUUUGAUUUUUUUUUUCCAUUUAAAGACAACAACUCGUACUUUAGGACUCAGCCGCUACAUGGAAACUGAAAUUAAACUCCAGCGACGUUUGUAAGAACUCGGCAGCGACCGUGCCGAGUAGACGGAGCCUGCCUAAGCGUGUAGUUAGUGCUUACAAAACACCCCCCUCUCGCCCCCCCAACACCUCGGUAGCCACAGAGUAAUACAUUCACAACCACAGAUGGGUCGUUUGUGUGCAAACAGAUUCCUGCAGCACUCCCCCCCCCCCAAAAUAUAGGGCCCGUUUAAAAAGUUAAAUGUUAUACCUCACAUAAAAUGUCAAUUUUUCACCGCGUUGCCUCACGGCUGAGGGUGCAUGUGUUGUGUACCCUGCCCUUCACCUCCCACCGCCCCCCCAAGAGCAGAGUACUGCUCAGACCUAAAGCCACAGGGGUGAGGAGGAGCCGGCAGGCUGUGUAAUUACGGUUGACGCAAUGGUUGUUUGGUUAAACACCAUAAUUGCCGGGGUGGAAUUGUGGUGAGGGCCCCAAACAAGAAAAAAAAAUAAUAAUAAAAUGGCCAUAUAUUUCGUUUUCCCCCAGCAAUACAUGACUUUUGGAUCCACCUCCAACGCCCCCCUAGAGAGCUCUGGCCAACAUUUGUGUUUUGUGAAGCAGAAGAAAAAGCAAACAUAUUUAGUGCUUCGUUGCUCCGAGAUGGAGAGCUGGGGGGGGGACCAAGAGGUCGUGGCCUUUUUGUAAUUUAUGUAAUUUAUGCUGGCCUUUGUCAGGGUGAAAGUAGAAACAAUAUGCCGUCACUUUUGUCCAAAUAGCAAAUCAGCUUUUUGUUUUGUUUUUUCUCCGUUAUGGUAAAAUUUUCACAUCGUCGCCGUGUUGCAGACGCCGAAUGGACUUCUCUCUCAAACCAUCUCUGACCAGCUUCCGUUUCCCUUUGGAAGGAAAGCCACUCAUCCGUACAGGAAGUGGGCAAAUAAUAGCUGUCCAGUCAACAGAGUCUCCUAAAUAUUCUGUGAAUCUUCACCGCUCCUCCGCAUGGCUCAGACCUACUAAAAUAUUGUCUUUUAUAACCUAGCUCUGUUUUAAGCAUCACAACCGUAUCCCUGUCCACUGAGGUUCUUUAGGCCUUUGCAGAAUGACCGGAUUUAUAAAGAUUAAAUUAGACACAAUUGGACUCCCAUUUCCUCCUGAGUAGACGUAAACUACCAAUAAAAUCCAACAAAUUUCGUGGUUGUAGUGUGACCAAAUGUGGAAGAAGUUCAAGGGGCGCGACGGCUUUCUGGAGGCGCUGCGCGUCCAUUACCAAGCAACUCGAUUCAUCUGUUCGCUCAGUGAAAACCUUCUGCACAAGAGGAACCAGAUGUGUUGUCUUUCCUCCAGCUGGGGUAGCGGCAGCUGGCUCCAAAGGCCUGUGUGGUGGAAACAACGCCUUUUCUUUUUUUUCUCUGCUUGUUAAAUCUCCAGUGUGUUCCAGAGCGAGGCUCGCCCUCACCCCUCCUUGGAAGAAUGCGCGAUGAAUUCGAGAUGCUGACGUGAAAACAGCCAGACGUCCGGGUUUUCAGAAAGACCGCCUGUGCGGGGGGAAAAACAAACAUGCGCCUGGUGGAAUCUGGCCACCGCCAAUCAGACACGUCGCCUAGCUCAGCAUUUCCUUGAUUAGAACCAGCAGUGACUCCCCCCAACCCUACUCUCCUCCUCAUUCCUUUUCUCACUUUUCUGCCUCUCCUCCCUUACUUGCAACACUUCUUGUUCCUUCAAUCGUAUUAGCAUAUCUUCUUUGCCAUUCCAUCCUCCCUUCUUGUCAUUCUGUACCUUCUGUCCCCCCCUCCCCCAUCUGUCUCUCACUCCUCCACAGCUUCAAUUGUAAAUAGCUUGAAGACAACAGAGGAAGAUGAGGUUAGGGGGCAGGGAAGCGUUUUUGAGCUUGGACAACUGUUUUGAGUCAUGAAUAUUUAUCUACCCUUGAUUGUCCCCCUCUGUUCCCUCCAUUGGUCAAUGUUCAGUGGGGGUUCUUUCAUUGUUUUCUCUUAGAGGAAGAGUAUAAUGGAGUAGAGAUGUUCGGCAAAUCAGCAGCCCUGAUGCAUAGAAAACUCCCAGUACUUUGUUCUAGUUUAUCAAAGACCUACAUAAAAUGCUAACAAAUUAAAACACAUAAUUGAUACUCAAGCAACCCCAAGGAUUGUCUCAAUUACCAGUCAGUGAUUAGUUUUGGAUCUAAUUAAUGUUUAGGCUGGUUCAGUCUGAUGAUAUAUGACAAAUUAGUACCAAUCAAACCAUAUGUCCACAUUUCUUUACACUACCCUUUGAGCAGAUCAUAGAAAAUGACUUUAAAUUGUUGCCAAAGCAGAUAUGAAAUGUCCACCUGCCUGGUCUGCGUUAAUGCAGAGUUGGUUUAAAAUGUUCUCCAUUUCGGACCC